GGUCUCAUAGCUCAGUUGGUUAGAGCACCUGACUCAUAAUCAGGUGGUCGCUGGUUCGAGCCCAGCUGGGACCACAA
rnacentral:tRNA from 5 species